UGAGAAUGAACUCCCGAGUACACUGCUUGCAGCCCGUGACUGGAAUGUUAAUUUCGUCCUGCGUCCCCGGCUGGCUCCCUUCAACGGUACUGGGCUCUCGCAUUUCUGACAUUUUUCGUUUUGUAAAAAUGAAUACCUGCCUUAGAAAGCCUGAUGAACGCAGAGAUACUUUACAUGCAAACACACACACACACACACACACACACACACACACACACACACACAAAUGCUGUUCCCAUUUCCCCCUGUCUUUCAUCUGACAAAGCGGGUAGUGACUGCGAGCUCAGAAUUGGCUGGCGGAGGUGUCUGCUGGUGUGUGGGCUCCAUUUCUGGGGCUUUAUCAAGCCCUGUCUCCGAUUUUCCCAUUUCAGACAAUCUUCCUUUGAAGACGUGGAUGACAUAGUAAAACCGAUUGCACUUGAGAGCCGAUUCCAUGACUAUUUUGCUGCAACAGCAAAGAUAACAUAUGCAGCCCAGACACUGGCUUCUGCAAGCCCCUCUGUUGUCUGCCUUUCAUGGAUCAGACCCCUUUGCUAGUGGAGCACAGUGUCACCGAUCAAAUCAACACGGCUGGUCCUGGGAGCCCCUUGUGUUGUUGCUGUCAGCUGAGAGGUGGCCCACGUGUCUUAGCAGCAACCUUUAUUUUCCAAAACUGACAAAGAGGAGUGGGUAAUUCUCCUGCUGGCAGAUGGAGGUCAGCAGGACCUGUUGGCUAGAAGCUUACUGGUGACUCUACACAGCUCAUUCCUUCUUCUGCAAACAUAGCUCUAAGCAACAUUUCAGGCAACCAGAAACCCUUCUCAUUUGGCAGAUGUUUCGGCAAAUUAUUUUUCUGCUGUAUAGCUCAAGAGAAGUGGCAAUAGCAGUUAGUGACUACCUGGCAUGUUGAGUUUCCUGUAGGGGACAAACAAAUCAAAUGCAAUUAGACUUUCUUUUUGAAGAAUAUAGAUUAUAGUUCUGGGCCACAGCAUUACAUAACCAUUUCUAUCUCUGGCACAAUCUAUAGAUCACAUAGGACACUAAUAAACUGCAUAUUACAAUAAAAUACACAAUGCAUAUUCUCUUGAUAAAUAUUAUGACUACUUUUUUGUUUCAAAUAUGCUUUUUGUUCUAUGCAUAUUCCAUAGUGGAUCUUUACCUUUAGGAGGUAACCCUUUAUCAUAAAGAAUACUUUGGAUUUUUAAAAGCUGAAUUUGGGAUAUUUUAUGAAUUAAUUAUUAAGACUAAAUCUAGGAUAGAGUGACUGGGUGGCUUAGUCAGUUAAGCAGCUGCCUUCAGCCUGAGCUGGAACAUCAGGUCAGGAUCCCAGGGUCCUGGAAUCGAGCCCCACAUGGGGCUUCCCUGUUCAGCAGGGAGUCUGCUUCUCCCUCUCCUUCUGUCCAUCCCCACUGUCCCUCCCCGCUUUCUCUCUCUCUCAAAUGAAUAAAUACAGAAU
rnacentral:lncRNA from 1 species